GACUCAGUUGACCCACCCACUUCGGCCUCCCAAAGUGUUGGGAUUAUAGGCAUGAGCCACUGCUCCCAGUCUUUAUCUUCUUAACCAUGAGAUUGUUGUCACAAAUGAAAGGCUAAACAUAAGAAACAAACGUCGUUGCUAAAUAUAAAGGAAACUGGCAAGUGUAUAAUAUGAAGUUAAUAUUGAUUAGAAAAUCCAAUUAUUUCUAUGGUUUAUUCUGAUAUAUCCCAAGAUAGCUGUUUGUCAGCAGGUGAACUUCCUAUUUAAUUGGCAUGAUUGAGUAAUUAGACGUAUUCUCAGAGCAGCAAUAAAAUGAAAUUCUCAUGUCUCAGUAACAUGGUCGAGGUUUUUGUUUUGUUGUUUUACUCUUGAGUUUAUCCAACUGAGACCAAGUAGACUUUGUUUUAUCUGGAAAUAAUUUUCAAUUUAAUAUUUGGUAAGUGUGUGGUUAUAUAAUUAUUUUAAUCAUAAGAAUUAUGGAAAAAUUUACAAACUUGACAAAAAAUUGUGAUAAUUUACCUUUUUCUCAUACUAAAUCCUUCAAGGCCUCACUGUCUUUUUCCUGGGUUCCUGCAGGAGCCUUCUGAUUGGCUUCUCUCUGUGCGUUACAGGACUUUUCCUCAGGUCAACUUAUCUUCUAGAAGAGAAAUUUGAUCUUUGUACCAUGUAAUCGAUAUCAUAAUGCGUUCCUCUGUAAAUAACAGAAAACUGUACUACAGUGGCUUAAACAAAUAGGGGUUUAUUUGUCUCAUCCAUUACAAAUGUGGGGAUAGGUACAGUGGCUUCAAAUUGCUUCCAGGGUUCCAGUCUCUUUUCGUCUUUCUGCUCUGCCAUCCUUACUAUAUAGACAUUCACCCUCAUGCUAGUUGUGGCAUGAAUUCAAGAUGACUGCUUCACCUCCAGGCCUUGCUUCUACAUUCUAGGCAGGAAGAAGGUAGAGGGUGAAAAGGACAAAAAGGAUUAAAAAGUCUCAAGAAGACUUUGCCUUUUUCCAUAAAGGGAAGCCCUCCUUGAGCACUUUUGACUAGUUGCAAAGGAAGUGGAGAAAUUAGGUACUUUGGUUAUUUUAGCCUUAAUAGUAGAAGUAAAGAGGAAGGUAGAUGUUAUUGGUUUUUCAAUAGCCAAACCAUAGUUUUUAUUAUAUACUCUCUAUUCCAUAUAAGAUCUUCAAAGGUUCAUCAUUGCUUACAGUGUGAAGUCUAUAUCUCUUAUUAUUGUGUAGUAUGAUGUUGUAGAAUGAUUUCUUACCUAACUUCAAGAAUUUAUAGACAACUUAACUUCAUUUUUGCUAAUGUACCUGUAUUAGUCAGGGUUCUCCAGAGAAAUAGAACUAAUAGGAUGUGUAGAUGUAUAGAAAAAGGCUUAUUUUAAGGAACUGACUUACCUGAUUAUGAAGACAAGCAAGUCUGAAAUCUGCAGAGUGGGCUGUCAGGCUGGAGACUCAAGAAGAGCCAACAUUGCAGUUCAAGUCUGAAGGCCAUCUGCUGAUAGAUUCUUUUUAACUCAGGGGAAGUCAGCCUUUUGUUCUAUUUAGACCUUCAAUUCACUGGGUAACGCCCAUCUAAAUUACGAAGGGCAAACUGCCUGACUCAAAAUCUACUGAUUUAAAUAUUAAUCUCAUCUAAAAACAUCCCCCUGGAAACAUCCAGAAUAACAUUUUAUCGUACAGUUACGCACUGUGGCCUAGCCAAGUUGACACAAAACAUUAACCAUCACAGCACCUAAAUUAAGCAUGCUUGAGGGCCGGGCAUGGUGGCUUAUGCCUGUAAUCCUAAUACUUUGGCAGGCUGAAAUGGGAAGAUUGCUUGAACUCAGGAAGUCAAGACUGCAAUGAGCUAUAAUUGCACCACUGCACUGUAGCCUGAGUGGCAGAAUGAGGUCCCCCACCUCUCUGUCAAAAAAAAAAAAAAAAAAAUGUUUGAACACCAGGAAAGAAUGACUGAGAAAGAUGAGCCCAAAGGGGUGACAGAGACGAUAUCACGCAGGGUAGUACAGGCCCUGAUGAGGAAAGAGCAGCCUUUAUAUCAAGAGCAAUAGAGAUUAAUGAAGCAUUUUAAAUCACUUCAGACAGGGGUUCCCAACCUCUGAGUGGCAGACUGGUACCAGUUGGUGACCUGUUAGGAAUUGGGCUGCACAGCAGGAGGUGAGCAGCAGGUGAGCAAGCAUUACUUCCUGAGUUCUGCCUCCUUUAAGAUCAGUGGUGGCAUUAGAUUCUCAUGAACCCUAUUAUGAACUGCACAUGCGGGGGAUCUGGAUUACAACCUCCUUAUAAGAUUCUAACUAAUGUCUGAUGUUCUGAGGUAGAACAGUUUCAUCCCAAAACUAUCCCUCUCCAUCCAUGGAAAAAUUGUUUUCCGUAAAACUGGUCCCUGGUGCCAAAAAGGCUGGGGACUGCUGACUUCAGAUGUUUGCUCACCUAUUUCCUCCUAUCUUUAUUCUGACCCUUCUUCCAACCAAUGUAGUUUGUGUGGAAUUGGCCUCAAAUUAAGACGUUUAGCAACGUCUGGCUUAAGACGUUUGGCUUAAGAUGUUUAGCAAACCUAAUCCCAUUGGCCACAGUGAUUAGUUCAGGGAUGGGUCAAUAAGACACAGUAUUCCAUGUGCUGGAGCUUCUGAGAAAGUGUCCUCUUUUACUGUGUUUGCUGGAGUAACUAUGUGAUGCUUAGAAACUGCUGCUGCCAUGUUGCUAUCACUACAGGAGUAAUCUUAAGAUAGCACUGACACACAGAGAAGACAGAACUGUGAGAUGGAGCUUGGUGACAGAUUAUAAACAGAUUCAUGUAUCAAGCUGUAACUGAAACUCUUCAACUCCUAAAUCUCCAGUUGGGACAGAAAAUUAUCUUCUAUUACAUUUAAAACCACAUGACUUAGGCUUUCUAUGCCUUGCAACAUGAAUAUUGUUAAUUAGUAUAUGUCAAGUAAUCACAUUUUCAUUUUAGAAAGCUUAUUUUGGUCUGUAGGGAUAAUGGAUUGUAAGGCAUAAGGUAGGGAGACAAGUCCCAGUAAUAUUAGGUCACAGUUUAAAAUUUUCCUUGGUUUACAAAGAUGGUGCACCUCUGUUUCCAAGUUCUGGGCUCUUGCUGUUGCAGGGCAGACUAUGGCUGCCAGGAAGCCACCCCAGGCACCCUGUCAGAGGAGAGCAGUACUUUGGACCUGCCAUAAGCCUGUAUGUGAGGGAUUAUGUCCUGCAGAGACCCAGCCAAGAGGCCAACAGCAAGGCUUUUAGUUCUGUGAAAUUCCAUUCUUUUCCUUGCUUUUCUGAUGUGGAUCCAGACACCAGUAGCCUAAAUACUGAACGAAAUGACUCUGGGACCACUGAGAACUUUUUUUUUUUUUGAGACAGAAACUUUUGAUUUCACCUUUCUGUGAAAGGCCAAUCAGAGAUCAAAGAAGAGGAUAAUGGACUUCAGAAAUCUCUGGAUAAAUUCUAUGAAAUGUUUGGCUAUCCAAAGUUAGCCUCUGGGAAUCCACUCUCUGCACCUGUCUGCCAGUGCCUGUCUCAGGAAAUCCCUCAACUAAGAGUCCAGGAGAGCCAAAAGUAUGCCCUCCAUGUUUUCAAAUGUCCCAGGUCAUCUUUAACUGUGAGGCUGCUCAGUCUUGCAGAGGGACAUCCACUUCUACUCACUGGAGGAAGGAAGUAUGUCUGUAGAAAAGCCAACCCAGAACUUUCAAAAGAUACUAAUUUUCUCUUAUGGCAGAAUGCAAUGAAAGACCCACAACUGGUGCCUGGUGGUGAACAGGCAGUAUUGGAGGUAUAGGCUAUGACCAGUACUAUUGGCAGCCAUCCAGAUCCCCCAGGGUCUCUUGCCAGCUCACUGUGCUCAAUCUUAACUAAGUGAUUUGUGGUUAAAGGCUGGCACCUGUGACCUGGUGUUGGAGUCAGUCAGUCUGUAUAGAAAGCAGCAGGGUCUGGGGGUUUUAUGUGCCUGUGGCUACUCCACCUCCCACUCCCCUUGGCUGAGGCCAUUGACUGACAGGGUUAGGAGUCAAAAGCCCAGCUCCCUUCACAAGGAGGGACACACUCUGAGGCAUAAUUUAUACUCCAUAGGUCCCUCCCCUGACAGUCAGGCCAAUGCUGGGAGUUCACAUGAAAUCACACUCUUUCUGGGCUUCAUCCCUUUCUCCGUCCUCCUCCCAUUCAUUUAUGGGUCUGUCUGUGAGCCUUUCCUUAAUUAACCUCUUAUAUCUGAAAAAAAAUUGCUCUGUUCAAUAUUGCACUAUUCAUACACAGACCUCAUAUUUAAAAUCCAUUUCCAGGCAACCACCUUUGGUUCCCUUCCCUUUGUGUGGGAGCUCUGUUUUCACUCUAUUAAAUCUUGCAACUGCACUCUUCUGGUCUGUGUUUGUUACAGCUCAAGCUGAGCUUUCCCUCGCUGUCCACCACUGCUGCUUGCCGCCAUUGCAGACCUGCCGCUGACUUCCAUCCCUCCGAAUCCGGCAGGGUGUCUGCUGUGCUCCUGAUCCAGCGAGGCACCUGCCCAUUGCUGCUCCCUAUUGGGCUAAAGGCUUGCCAUUGUUCCUGCGUGGCUAAGUGCCUGGGUUCAUCCUAAUUGAGCUGAACAAUUAGUCACUGGGUUCCAUGGUUCUCUUCACUGACUGACAGCUUCUGAUAGACCUAUAACAUUCACUGCAUGGCCCAAGAUUCCAUUCCUUGGAAUCCGUGAGGCCAAGAACCCCAGGUCAGAGAACACGAGCCUUACUA